AUAAAGCAGUGGCACAAAACAAAGAGAAUGAAAAAAGUAUUGUUCAGCCAAUAAAAACAUUUCACUGUUGCUGCAAGGUGAGAAGAGGGAAGCAGCCCUGCACUCACCCCAGCAACUACAGGCUUGACCGAAGGGUCCAAGACAUCUCGAACAUAAUGUCCACACUUGGCCAAAGAAGCGGGAACCAUAUCGAGAAGCUUGUGUUCUGGCCACAGAAGCGGGAGCUCACAGGCCUUGUGUUAGAAUUCUGUAGCCUGGUGAAGUUACAAACCGUACUCUUGUAGCGAUGUGUUGGCCAGGUUUUGACUGGUUGCCCUGGUCCAGUGAAGUCUUGACUGCAUGUCUUCAGCACAAUCCAUGGGGUAACCUUCCUAUGUGGCUUUCAUCCAUUUUCCAGCUAUUCCCUUCAUUUUUGUCACCCGGGGCUUCGUGGUCCGCAGUGAUUAGUCCCUUACUUAAUAUGUACAAAUAGGUCCUUUAAUUUUCCUGUUUUCUUGCCUUGAAUGCCCUCAUACCUAUUGCAAACAGAAAAGGAAGAUAGCACCACUCUUCUAUCAUGAUCGUUCACAUUAGAGUUCCAUUAAAGGAGCAAGAUCAGGGUAUCCAUGGCAUCUGUCUCGAUUCUUUACAUUUUGUGCCAUAAUACCCAGGACUCGUACUGUGGCUGCAGGCGUCAUCUGUAAGUUUGGGAGGUGGGAGCACCUUCUGCUUGCUUCAGCUCCUGUCUGACCUUGCCCUUCAGCACAACAGUCUAAAGUUCACAAAGCCAGGAUGCCCCCGGAGGUGAAUGACACAACCUGUCAGCCCAGCCCUUGGAGCAGCCAAUGACCUGCCUAUCGAUGCGAAGGACAACUGCAAUGACAACUGCAAAGCUUGCAAGGCUGGGACGAUAAAUUUCUUCAGUGACAUCCAUCUUGAAGGCCUAGUCCUUGAAGUGAAUGGCGCAUAGAGUGCAGACUUAUCUUGCCACCACAACGAUGACUGCUCCAUAGCUCACAAGGCUGGGAUAGCAAGUCUCAUCGGAAGGCUGAUCGUGCAGGCCUAGCCCUUGAAACCACCAGCUGUGUGUCUGCCAAUAAUCUGUGCCUUCAUCGUGAUGGGCUCUCCAAGGUCUGCAAGGCUGGAACGCUGAGGUCAUCCCAUCUGAAAUUUGGAAGCUUUGCCCUUCAAGCAUCCAGUACCACCAUGGCAGUAUUAAAGAUGGGAGGAACUGCAAGGAUCACUAGUGUUUACUAACAAUUAUGUAGCAUCCUUGUCUGUGCACUCACAAGUGCCCUAGGGACCUAAAAGACUGAAAUAUGGGACAUUGAGUGGCUGAGAAUUAUGGGAAUAUUCUUGCACACUGACAUCAAAGAAAAGUAAUAGAAUACUUACAUCUAUGUCACAAAUAGUUGUUAAGUUCAACUUAGUUUGCUUUCAACGAGAGUGACGUAGAGGCUUGUGAAUACUUUGAAUUGGACAUCUGCUGCAGUAAAGUGAAGCUCGAGGUCCGAUUGACCAAAUUAGACAAAAAAGCGCGUUACACAUCCGCCAAGCCAACAGGGAUUUUAAUAAGCAGGCCAUAGAGCUGGGUUUGUUCACAUGACUAGAGGAUGCCCAUUGAUAAAGCUAAGUAACUCGGUCUAAAGAAUGCUGCAAGAAUUUAACACUACUUUAGUAGCGAUAUUCUCACAGCAAACAGAUGCGUUGCAGAAGCAACAGUCAUAGCUCCAGAAGCACAGAAACUCGGAGGCGAAUCUGAAUUUGUGCCACAAAAGCCAUUCUGUUCUCUGUCAGCAGGUCUGCUAUGCUGUGUCGGUCAAUGGGUGCUGUGUCUGCCCUGAAGACGGCGACAGCUUACCUUUAACUGGGACUGAUAGCCCAUCUAGCACCACUGCUAAAGUAAUGUUAAACAUUUAUCCUAAAGACAAAAACGCAAAACAAAGCAAGAGGGAGGGGGGGAUGAAGCUUGCAGAAAAACGAGACAAGGAUUCUUUGAGAUAAGGUGUGGCAGUCAUGAUCAGAACCAGAACGAUAAGUCAAAGGAGAGUUUUUGCACUUUCGUGUGUGAUCAAACGGACAGGCAUCAUACUGAAGGCGUCAAGAGGAGCACAAGGAUGAAGCAAAGGCACUUGGCAGCUUGGAAAGACAGUCACGCAAUUGAAUGCAGAAAAAUUGCGGGAAACAACUCAAGCACCCGAAUGCAAGAAAAGAGUGAAAAUAAUACGUUAUGUUAAAGAAAAAGGAUUUCCUUUUGAACACAAUAUUAAUAUAACACUGCCCCACUGUACGAUACAUCAAACAUUAUACACAGCUUCAAAAUUGCAUAACUGUGCAAACUCAGCCUGAAAUAGAUGGAAUAGAAUUUGUUCCUUGUGAGCAAAUCGGGAUUGUGGCUUGCAUAAGCUGAAUGUGUGCAGUUUUUGCUUAGCAGAAAGGUUAUUAAUUAGUCAAACUUCUAUAGUGGUGAACAAAAUAGGAGUUCGGCAAUGGGAAAGAAAAGAACAUUAACAUUUGUGUGCAGUAGUGUGAGAGUUAACGUGGGCAGAAGUGCAAUGUGUAAAUAGGGUCUAUUUUGGGCAGAUAUACCGAGAUAUAAAUUGCACUGGUAUUGUACUGAAUCAAGUUAUCUUGACAUGAAGCAAUAGCCUGCCCUUUAAUUUGCAUAGAUUUUGCCAUACAGUCUUGCAUGGCUGUUAGACUACUGCAUACUUUGGCAAAGCCAAAUAGCUGUCAUGCUAAAUGUCAUGUAUAAGGCAGCCAUGUAUGUCUAUCCACGAGAAGGCAUAUCUGUAUUUUAUGACUGUGCGCAAGUUUAUUGUUGACAGAUACCGUAUGUUGUGCAUAACAUAAAGUAUGUCCUUGCAUUCAUAAUGGACGGCAAUAUUUUUCAAUUCUACCCUGCCCCCUCACUCUAGGUCUUUGUCCAGAGAAGGAAUGCCCACUGCUUGAGUGCCCGUGACACAGUCGAUGCUGCUUCAAGCUUCAACAAUUGUUGUGUCAGUUACAGCUAUGCAAGCCAAUAUUUGCACCAAAAAGAUGUUACUUAGCUCCUUCAGGUUUUUUAAAUAAAGUACUUUACCAACAAAACUAUGCCCGGGGGCUGUCCCCCUUCGACUUUUCUUUGGCAUUUACAACACAUCCUAAGACCAUAAAUGCUUAUUCAAAGCACCCAAUACACUUUAGGCCGAACAUUGUCUGCAAAGUUCCAUUUGAAGAGGUACUGACAUGAUAUCUUCAAUUAUUCCUUUUUUUCUCUCAUUAAAUUAAGGCUUUAGAGCUCUAAAAAUAUAAUAACAAGCCUUGGAGUGGCGUGAUUUAGUAUAAUAGCUUUCCUGGAGCCGGUUUCAGUUUUGUUUUCUGGGAGGAUACUAUGUAGUGACAUCACAACACAGUAUGUGGUCAUGUGAGAAAAGGACAUUGCAAUGUUUUGACACUCUCUUGAGGCCUCCGGCUAGCUCAGUCGACUUGUGCACUGCAAAUUUUGAAGGUCAAUGUAGCAGCACAGUGGACGACUGAAUGAGCUAGAGCGAGUGUCAUAACAUCGUAAUGUCUUGCUCCCACAUGACCAUAUACUGUGUCGUGACAUCAAGGCAUAGUAUCCUCCUGGAAAACAAAAGUGGCUGUAAAGAAGCUACUAUAUUGAAUUAUUUACGGUGUUUUGAGGCUUCACCCCUCAAACGCUGUCUGUCGUCUUCUCUCCGCCACUCUUCAGCACUGAACUUCAUCCGACCAAACACCAGAGAAAAGAGUGAUGCUGAUACAGACACACAAGUUUUUUUGGCAGUGGAAUAUGUUAACUGGACAAACUGCUGCAAGCGUUGCAUAGCAACAUGCAUUGAAGCUGCUUUGUCAUGCGACUCUCACGCUACCUGCGUUGGAACCAGAUGGCUCACAUGAAAAGAUUCAGGUGUCUCAGCAGCAGCACACCCACCCGUUGUUGGUCAC